AGCAGCCGCGGUAAUUCCAGCUCCAAUAGCGUAUAUUAAAGUUGCUGCAGUUAAAAAGCUCGUAGUUGAAUUUCGGGAUCAAUAUGUUGGUCGUGCCUCGGUACGUACUAGCUUAUUGGUUUCUCCCUUCUGACGAACCAUGAUGUCAUUUAUUUGGUGUUAUGGGAAAUCAGGACUGUUACUUUGAAAAAAAUUAGAGUGUUUAAAGCAGGCUCACGCUUGAAUACAUUAGCAUGGAAUAAUGAAAUAGGACGUUUGAUUCUAUUUUGUUGGUUUCUAGGAUCGACGUAAUGAUUAAUAGGGAUAGUUGGGGGCAUUAGUAUUCAAUUGUCAGAGGUGAAAUUCUUGGAUUUAUUGAAGACUAACUACUGCGAAAGCAUUUGCCAAGGAUGUUUUCAUUAAUCAAGAACGAAAGUUAGGGGAUCGAAGACGAUCAGAUACCGUCGUAGUCUUAACCAUAAACUAUGCCGACUAGGGAUCGGAUGAUGUUAAUUUUUUAGUGACUCAUUCGGCGCCUUAC
rnacentral:rRNA from 1 species